rnacentral:lncRNA from 1 species
UUGCCUCCAAGAAGAAACAGAGUGAGCAGUAGUUUUCAGCACGCUUAAUGAGGAAGCGGGAGGACGAAUCCGAAAAUGCUUAUUGAAGGAGAAACCUGAUAAAGUGUGUUUCGUUCAGACAAAUCUGAGGGAAGAAAAUUAGAUUUUGCACAAAUGGUUAGAGAGAGAGAGAAGAAACAGAGAGAAAGUUUGUCUUGGUUUGCAUCGUUUUUCG